rnacentral:rRNA from 1 species
UACGUAGGGUGCGAGCGUUAAUCGGAAUUACUGGGCGUAAAGCGUGCGCAGGCGGCGCGUUAAGACAGGUGUGAAAGCCCCGAGCUUAACUUGGGAAUUGCGCUUGUGACUGGCGUGCUGGAGUGUGGCAGAGGGAGGUGGAAUUCCACGUGUAGCAGUGAAAUGCGUAGAGAUGUGGAGGAACACCAAUGGCGAAGGCAGUUGCCUGGCCCGUUACUGACGCUAAAGCACGAAAGUGUGGGUAGCAAACAGG